rnacentral:rRNA from 1 species
UUGAACGCUGGCGGCAGGCCUAACACAUGCAAGUCGAGCGGAUGAAGGGAGCUUGCUCCUGGAUUCAGCGGCGGACGGGUGAGUAAUGCCUAGGAAUCUGCCUGGUAGUGGGGGAUAACGUCCGGAAACGGGCGCUAAUACCGCAUACGUCCUGAGGGAGAAAGUGGGGGAUCUUCGGACCUCACGCUAUCAGAUGAGCCUAGGUCGGAUUAGCUAGUUGGUGGGGUAAAGGCCUACCAAGGCGACGAUCCGUAACUGGUCUGAGAGGAUGAUCAGUCACACUGGAACUGAGACACGGUCCAGACUCCUACGGGAGGCAGCAGUGGGGAAUAUUGGACAAUGGGCGAAAGACUGAUCCAGCCAUGCCGCGUGUGUGAAGAAGGUCUUCGGAUUGUAAAGCACUUUAAGUUGGGAGGAAGGGCAGUAAGUUAAUACCUUGCUGUUUUGACGUUACCAACAGAAUAAGCACCGGCUAACUUCGUG